UGUAGUAAUUCUAGAGCUAAUACAUGCCACUAUGCCCUGACCCGCAAGGGAACGGGUGGAUUUAUUAGAACAGAACCAACCGGUUGUGGCUUCGGCUGCUUCCGUUGCACUCUGUGAUGACUCUGGAUAACUUCACUGAUCGCAGUCGGCCUUGUGUCGGCGACGGAUCUUUCAAAUGUCUGCCCUAUCAAUUUUCGAUGGUAGGUGACCUGCCUACCAUGGUGAUAACGGGUAACGGGGAAUCAGGGUUCGAUUCCGGAGAGGGAGCCUGAGAAACGGCUACCACUUCCAAGGAAGGCAGCAGGCACGCAAACUACCCAAUCCCGGCACGGGGAGGUGGUGACGAAAAAUACGGAUACGGGACUCGUAUGAGGCUCCGUAAUUCGAAUGAGUACAAUUUAAAUCCUUUAACGAGGAUCAACUGGAGGGCAAGUCUGGUGCCAGCAGCCGCGGUAACUCCAGCUCCAGAAGCGUAUAUUAAAGUUGUUGCAGUUAAAAAGCUCGUAGUUGGAUCUGGGUCGUAUGGCUACGUGCCGUUGCUCGCAUUCUCGGCUUGGUUUCGACUAGGUCAAGUUUGUGGGUCGGUGUCGUGGCUGUGCAGCCUUUCUGCCGUGUCUGUUUCGACAGGUGCUGACUUAAUCGAUGGGCUUGUCUCGUUGGU
rnacentral:rRNA from 1 species